AAGAGUUAACAGUUGUUGCAAUAACUUUUGUUCACUAGACCUACAAAAACUAUAUAUGCAUUUGACAAAUAUGUAGCUUACAUGCGCCAAGGAAGCAAUGCACUUAGAAACUAAACCUUAGAAGGGACAAAGGGGGAUACAUUUGUGCUAUGAAGAGGCAACAUUUGUCUGUGGCUUCCAUGAAUCGCCCCUAGAUCUUUAAUUCAAAGCCACGCCCUUUAAAAACGUCACCCAUGACAUCAGGGAAGGAGGGGUGUAGACUGACUCUUUUCACACAGCCGGUUUUAAUUAGCAACACGAGGAGCACUGGUGUCACAUCUUAACUUGGGGUCCGGCUGAGCACAGGAACGAGGAGGCGCGUCACCAACUCAAGCAACCGUUACAAGGGCCUGUGGAUUUUUGGCCUUUAACACCGAAUUUCACCACUCAUUGGAACUGAAGAUAAUACCUACAGGCAUGGACAGCAGACUGGUCUUCACUGUCCUAUUUGUGACUCAGUCCUGGAUGUCUGUGGGCACCUAUGGCCAAUCAUCAAAUGCGACGAGGCCAGCAAAUAUGGCAAUUCCUGAUAACCACAUGGUUACAGCAAACGCGCCAGUUACAGCCAA